AUUACUUAUCAGAAUAAAAACACUUUAAGAGUAAAUCAAUUCUUAAAGUAAUCUGUCUUAUCAGAAUGAAUACUUUAAGGGUUUAGCCUUAAUUAUCAUUGUGAAUCACAGUACUUCAAAAUAGGGAAGUUUUAGAAGGGGAGAAAAUCCAUGGCUGGAAAAUUUAUGAGGGUGAUCAUGAUGGGGUUGAUUUUUCUUAUUCUCAUUGAAGUGCAAGCUGAUCAUGACGAGUCUUUCCAUCAUUCCUCUAAAGCAUUGGAUGCUAUUCCGGGAGCAUGUUUUUCUUGCAUUACCAGAAGAAUUGAAAGUUGUGAUAUUUAUUUGAGAAGAUGGUGGCUGCGAAUAUUUCGAAACCUUGAUUAUGAAAUGUGCAUACUUGAGAAUUUUGUAACCUGCAUGAGCAAUUUUCUUAUUUUUGAUGACCCAGCAUGUCAUGCCGCUGCAUGGUGCUUACAUACCUGCCAGCAAACAACAAAUACAAAGAGACGCAAGCAUAUAACUUGUUUAUUGGAUUGCUAUAGAAAGCAUAUCAAGCAGCAUUGAGAUAUCGUUUAUACGCGGAAUCCAUGAGUUCUAGCUCUAGAUGAGAUGAUGGAACUUAUGAGGAAGUUGAUGACUGUGGAGGACCUAGCUAGGUUAGUAUUUGAGGAGUUAGACCUUAACUUGUGGCAUUACAUGUGGUUUGAGUUUAAGGGACAUCUUAAUGAGUUCAUAAAGGUUUUGUUUUUAGUUUACUAUUUCCAUUGUCGUAUGAACAUGUUGGAUUGGUUAUCUGCAAGCCUCAAUGAAUCAGACUAUUAAACUUGAUAUGUUUGUAAGUUUUGGAGACAUUUAUUUCUGUUGUAUUGUUUUGAGAUAUUCUCUCGAGAUUUAGUUUUGGAUUUAGAUGCCUGAUGGUUUA